GAUGGACGCUGGCGGCGUGCCUAAUACAUGCAAGUCGAGCGAACGGACGAGAAGCUUGCUUCUCCGAUGUUAGCGGCGGACGGGUGAGUAACACGUGGAUAACCUACCUAUAAGACUGGGAUAACUUCGGGAAACCGGAGCUAAUACCGGAUAAUAUUUUGAACCGCAUGGUUCAAAAGUGAAAGACGGUCUUGCUGUCACUUAUAGAUGGAUCCGCGCUGCAUUAGCUAGUUGGUAAGGUAACGGCUUACCAAGGCAACGAUGCAUAGCCGACCUGAGAGGGUGAUCGGCCACACUGGAACUGAGACACGGUCCAGACUCCUACGGGAGGCAGCAGUAGGGAAUCUUGCACAAUGGGCGAAAGCCUGACGGAGCAACGCCGCGUGAGUGAUGAAGGUCUUCGGAUCGUAAAACUCUGUUAUUAGGGAAGAACAUAUGUGUAAGUAACUGUGCACGUCUUGACGGUACCUAAUCAGAAAGCCACGGCUAACUACGUG
rnacentral:rRNA from 1 species